rnacentral:rRNA from 1 species
AUUGAACGCUGGCGGCAGGCCUAACACAUGCAAGUCGAGCGGUAGAGAGGUGCUUGCACCUCUUGAGAGCGGCGGAUGGGUGAGUAAUGCCUAGGAAUCUGCCUGGUAGUGGUGGAUAACGCUCGGAAACGGACGCUAAUACCGCAUACGUCCUACGGGAGAAAGCAGGGGACCUUCGGGCCUUGCGCUAGCAGAUGAGCCUCGGUCGGAUUAGCUAGAUGGUGAGGUAAUGGCUCACCAAGGCGACGAUCCGCAACUGGUCUGAGAGGAUGAUGAGUCAGACUAGAACUGAGGCACGGCCCACACACCUACGGGAGGCAGCAGUGGGGAAUAUUGGACAAGGGACGAGAGCCGGAUCCAGCCAUGCCGCGUGUGUGAAGAAGGUCUUCGGAUUGGAAAGCACUGUAAUUUGGGAGGAAGUGUCGUUACCUAAUCCGUGACGAUUUUGACGUUACCGACAGAAUAAGCACCGGCUAACUCUGUGCCAGCCGCCGCCGUAAAAC